GCAUAAUCACUACUCUGCUGGCUUAUCCAUAUACUAUUCCGACUACCACUGUCUGGCAAAUACAACUUUUUAUACGACUCCAUCAUCUUAGAAACCACCACCGCCCAUGUCGCCACCACCCAUGUCGCCUCCGCCCAUGUCUCCACCACCGUAUCCACCACCAUACCCUGUUCAGAUCAGCGGUUGUCAACGACUAACAGUUGGAUGAUAAAAGAUUAGAGAUACACACCACCAUCAAGGGAGUCAGCCAGAAGCAUACCACCCAGCAGACCUGCGCCUCCUCCCAUCAUCAACGGCAUACCCAUGCCCAUACCACCUAGACCUCCACCGUAGCCAUAGUAGCCACGCCUGCCGUAUCCACCGCCAUAUCCUAGAUCCCAAUGUCUUCAGCUAUUAUAAUUUUAUUAGCCGGUAAAGGACUUACCAAAUCCAUAGGGGCUUGAGUAGAGGCCGCUGCGCAUGAAUGGUCCAGCAGGGGCAGAAUACAUAUAGGGGUUAGCCGCAUACCUUGAGCCUAUACCAUACCCGAUCAUUCAGCUGUUUGUUGAUCAACUCUUGACGUCUCUUGCGGUAUGCUUCUUCUUGCGCCUGUGGAUGUCAUCAACAAAAUGUCCUUUUCACACAACAACCGACUUUCCUGAAUUCGCUUCUUCUGCUCCUCCUUCAACCGCCUCUUUUCUGCCUUGGCUUUCUCCCGCUCUUCCUUCGUUCCAAUCAUCUUAUCCUUCUUUCUCUGGAACCAGUUCCUCUCCCCUUCCGUCCCCUCUUUCUCCGCACUUGUGCCUACAGUGCCCUUGGCCUUGCUAUCACCCUUGACACUCUUAACUUCCUUCCUCUUCUGCUUGGAGAGUUCUUCGUCUUCUGAUUGCUUGCGGACUGCACGCGCUUCUUUGGAAUCUGGGUGGGCGGGAUGAUCUUUCGGAAGAGUACGUAAGAACUCAGGAUCGUCGUAUGGGUGAACCCAAGUUGAACGCUUGGUUGCUUCAUCCACGUAGAAAUGGUGCUUUUGGCUGGUAUUCCAUCGGGAAUCAGUAUUAUUUCCACGUUGAGAGGCGAAGAACUAUCCGUUCCGAUUUUAACUUACUUGGGAUCAAAACACCUAACCCAGCCGGGGGGCAAAUCUCUCUGCUCGUCAUCCAUAUCCCUCAAUUCAUCAUUUAAAUCAAUAUCGUUUCCUUCAUUCGAAGUAUGGCUGAUUUCAGACAUAUUGGUGGGGGAGCGCUGCAUCGCGUUUCCGCCUGCAGAAGCGGACUGAGUAGUACUUUGCGGUGCUGUGGCCUGGAGGUUGGAUUUGCCCGACGCAUCGGCUGGUUGGUAAGGAGGGGGUGGGUCUGAAGGCAUCUUAAAUGUGCUUCCGGUAUGAUUAAGAUGAUAAACAUUAACCAUUCAUGGAAACCGCUAUAUAUACGUGUGUGUAGUACGCCCUCCUCGAACAUGUGGAGUUGUUAGCUGGUAAUGGUCUUAUGAUUGCCGACUCUUGUUCCCGGUAAAAAUAUCGGACGGAAAUGACGUCAAAAGUGACUCACCCGUAGCCAAAAUCUGGUGAUGCAAUCAGAUUCCAUCUACAUUCGCUUUAUGUUGAUUUCGUUAAUUAUCUCUCGC
rnacentral:sRNA from 1 species